rnacentral:rRNA from 1 species
UACGAAGGGGGCUAGCGUUGUUCGGAAUUACUGGGCGUAAAGCGCACGUAGGCGGAUAUUUAAGUCAGGGGUGAAAUCCCAGAGCUCAACUCUGGAACUGCCUUUGAUACUGGGUAUCUUGAGUAUGGAAGAGGUAAGUGGAAUUGCGAGUGUAGAGGUGAAAUUCGUAGAUAUCGAGAGGAACACCGGUGGCGAAGGCGGCCAACUGGACGAAUACUGACGCUGAGACUCGAAAGCGUGGGGAGCAAACAGG